rnacentral:misc_RNA from 1 species
AACGCACAUUGCGCCCUUUGGCAUUCCGAAGGGCAUGCCUGUUCGAGCGUCAUUAUCCUCCCUCAAACCCCCGGGUUUGGUGUUGGACCGCGUUGGGGGGCCUCCCCCAACUGGUCUCAAAGACAAUGACGGCGUCCGUGGGACCCUCUUCGCACUGAGCUUUCCGGAGCACGCGUCGAGUUGCAAGGUCUCGUGGGCCCGGUCCUCCUUUAUCUAUUUUUCAGGUUGACCUCGGAUCAGGUAGGAAUACCCGCUGAACUUAA